rnacentral:rRNA from 1 species
CCUACGGGUGGCAGCAGUCGAGAAUCAUUCACAAUGGGGGAAACCCUGAUGGUGCGACGCCGCGUGGGGGAAUGAAGGUCUUCGGAUUGUAAACCCCUGUCAUGUGGGAGCAAAUUAAAAAGAUAGUACCACAAGAGGAAGAGACGGCUAACUCUGUGCCAGCAGCCGCGGUAAUACAGAGGUCUCAAGCGUUGUUCGGAAUCACUGGGCGUAAAGCGUGCGUAGGCUGUUUCGUAAGUCGGGUGUGAAAGGCGCGGGCUCAACCCGCGGACGGCACAUGAUACUGCGAGACUAGAGUGAUGGAGGGGGAACCGGAAUUCUCGGUGUAGCAGUGAAAUGCGUAGAUAUCGAGAGGAACACUCGUGGCGAAGGCGGGUUCCUGGACAUUAACUGACGCUGAGGCACGAAGGCCAGGGGAGCGAAAGGGAUUAGAUACCCCUGUAGUC